CGCCAGCGACUGGGGGGAGGUGGGACGGGCCAACGGCGGGGGAGGUAGGGAAGGCUGCUACCGAAGAGGGCUCGGGUUACGAUCCUCGCUUAGGUUUUGCACAUGAUCCACAAGUGGUUUGGCUUCGGCUCUCUCCAAGCCCUUAAGGAGAGUUGGGUAAAGGCACUCCCCGGGCAGCCCCAUCCCGUGCAAUGGGCCAGACUCCAGAGACAAGCAGGGGCGUUCCCAAAACUAGCUGAGCAAAGAGAGUGCUUUGCAUAACCAGAAGCCAGGGAUGUGUAUCAACUCCUCCCUUACCCGCAAUGCUGGGCACAGACGCUAGUAGUGGUAGAUGUCCUCAAGCAGUGUUUCUCAACCUGGGGGUCAUGACGAUCUUAAACUGAAGCUCCAAGCCCCAGAGGGUUGUGGAAGCCCGGAGUUAAGGUACAAUAAGUAAUUUAGUAUGUGUUGAAUUGAAGAACAGAAUGACUAUACUCCAGAAAGGCACGACCAGAUGGAAAAACGUCUCCACUUUGAAAGAUCUUCCUGGGCAGACUCCCACCAUUGGAAGAUGUCUACAUCUGGUGACAUCAGGAUGAAAAGACCACUCUGGUGAUUCGUAAAUGAUCUGCUCAGGUAUUCUGCCAGAUUGUUUUGGACCCCAGUAGUUUUGAUCAUAUGGGAUAUGAUCCUUCAAGUUAUCGAAGUUACUGCAGUUUGCUGAGCACCCUCAGUUACCAUCAAUUUCAGUGAUUGUUCAGGCAACUCAGCACCUCAGAAACUGUGCAUAUAUUUUUCAGUGCAUCUUCAGUUGAAUUUCUGGACUGAAGUGAUUCCAUGCUUAUGGUCCUCUGAAGUUUAGUAAAACUGCUAAUUGGAGAGCUCACAGUAAAGCAACUCUGAGGUUUGUUCUUAAGCUUGGCCUGAGAAGGUUUCUUCUGCAAAUGUAAGGCGCUAUGGGGACUUUCUUCCAUCUGACUUCUAUAUCCAAAUCUUGGUCCACUACCAUGGUAAUUUUUUUCAACUUCCUUCAGUAGACUGAAAAAAGAGUCAAGAUUUUUCAAGAAGUAAUUGUAUCUGUAUGAAUUACUCUAUGGAUUGGAAAUUAAAUAUAAACUUGCCACUGGAUUUCAAAGAUGUGAGGGUGAGCAGGACCAAGAAAACUAACCCUUAAAUCUAAUGAUCUCUUCAAAACUCCUAUUGCUUCUUGUUUGACUUGAAAGCCAGAUUGACUAUGUAGUAGUUGUCCUGAAAGAUGUGUAAAACAAACAUAAUAUAUUUUAAAAUAUUAUUCAGUUUCUUCAUUAUACAGAAAAUAUAUAGAAAUCUGAUAUAAAAUCUUCAGGGAAAAGAUAAGUUACAAGGAAAAUGAAGUUAUUAAAACAUUUCAAACAAUCAUUUUAUUAAAAUGGCACAAAAUAAUUGGCUUGAAAAGUCUUUUUUUUAACAGUUUUAAAUUUUGAUACUAGCUUUUAAGAAUCACUACAAUUAUUUGAAAAGAAAUCUAAAAAGAAGUCUGCUAUUUGUUUUUUAAUCUCUCUCCCUAUUUGAUUCCCCCACUUCUGUCACCACUAUGUAUAUACCUCUUUGAAGUGAUCUGCUUUGUUGAAUGUGGAAGAGCAGGAAUAUAUACAUAUUUUAAUAUCUUUAUUCAACUCUGAGCAUGAAAAGAAAGUCAAAAUCAGAAACAGACAGUCUUUGUACUCUUUGGGACAAACAAACGCCAGGGGAAGCCAUUCUAUAAAUCCUAAAAUAUAUUGCACUAAUGUUAGUGGAGGCUUAGCCAGUGUAAAGGAGCCAAAGGUCAACUAUGAAUUGAGUCCUUAUAUCCAUUCAACUUAUGGUGCUGUACCUGACUGACAGUUAGAGUUUGUUUGCACUGCUGUUGUAACCACGUUGGUUCCAGGAUAUGAGAGACAGCAUGAGUGAGGUAAUACCUUUUCUUAGACCAACUUCUGUUGGUGAAAGAGAGAAGCUUUCAAGCUCCACAGAGCUGUAGAAGAGCUCUGUGGUGCUUGAAAGCUUAUCUAUUUCACCAGCAAAAGUUGGCUAAUAACAGACAUUACUUGUUCUCUCAGGUUAGAGAUUGUGUAUGUGAAAUACCAUGUGAGUUCUGCUGUAUGUAUAAAUACUAUUUUUAAAAUGAACAAAAAUAGUGUUUUAAAAAAUACUGUUAUUUUACUUUCACACCCAAUUUUCAGUGGAUUUGAUGGUCUAUUUAAUAUUUAUUUAAAUGGAUAACACUUGUGGGAAAUAUGGCACUAGAAGUUUAAAAGAAAACACCUCUAGAUGAUUCUCUGCACCUUGAGGUCUUUAAACCACGAUUUGAAGACUUCAAUA